GAUGAACGCUGGCGGCGUGCCUAAUACAUGCAAGUCGAGCGAACAGAUGAGGAUCUUGCUCCUCUGACGUUAGCGGCGGACGGGUGAGUAACACGUGUAUAACCUACCUAUAAGACUGGGAUCACUUCAGGAAACCGGGUCUAAUACCGGAUAAUAUAUUGAACCGCAUGGUUCAAUAGUGAAAGACGGUUUUGCUGUCACUUAUAGAUGUAUCCGCGCCGCAUUAGCUAGUUGGUAAGGUAACGGCUUACCAAGGCAACGAUGCGUAGCCGACCUGAGAGGGUGAUCGGCCACACUGGAACUGAGACACGGUCCAGACUCCUACGGGAGGCAGCAGUAGGGAAUCUUCCGCAAUGGGCGAAAGCCUGACGGAGCAACGCCGCGUGAGUGAUGAAGGUCUUCGGAUCGUAAAACUCUGUUAUUAGGGAAGAACAAAUGUGUAAGUAACUAUGCACGUCUUGACGGUACCUACUCAGAAAGCCACGGCUAACUACGUG
rnacentral:rRNA from 1 species